rnacentral:rRNA from 1 species
GUGCCAGCAGCCGCGGUAAUACGGAGGGUGCAAGCGUUGUUCGGAAUUACUGGGCGUAAAGGGCGCGUAGGUGGUUGUGUAAGUCAGAUGUGAAAUCCUUAGGCUUAACCUGAGAACUGCAUCUGAUACUGCAUGACUCGAGUGCAGCAGAGGGAAACGGAAUUCCUGGUGUAGAGGUGAAAUUCGUAGAUAUCAGGAGGAACACCGGUGGCGAAGGCGGUUUCCUGGGCUGACACUGACACUGAGGCGCGAAAGCGUGGGUAGCAAACAGGAUUAGAAACCCGCGUAGUCC